AUUGAACGCUGGCGGCAAGCUUAACACAUGCAAGUCGGACGGUAACAGGAGGAAAGCUUGCUUUCUUUGCUGACGAGUGGCGGACGGGUGAGUAAUGCUUGGGAAUCUGUUUUAUGGAGGGGGAUAACUACGGGAAACUGUAGCUAAUACCGCGUAAUAUCGAGAGAUUAAAGUGUGGGACCGUAAGGCCACAUGCCAUAGAGUGAGCCCAAGUGGGAUUAGGUAGUUGGUGGGGUAAAGGCCUACCAAGCCGUCGAUCUCUAGCUGGUCUGAGAGGAUGACCAGCCACACUGGGACUGAGACACGGCCCAGACUCCUACGGGAGGCAGCAGUGGGGAAUAUUGCACAAUGGGCGCAAGCCUGAUGCAGCCAUGCCGCGUGAAUGAAAAAGGCCUUCGGGUUGUAAAGUUCUUUCGGUGGUGAGGAAGGUUGUAAUGUUAAUAGCAUUAUAAUUUGACGUUAGCCACAGAAGAAACACCGGCUAACUCCGUGCCAGCAGCCGCGGUAAUACGGAGGGUGCGAGCGUUAAUCCGAAUAACUGGGCGUAAAGGGCACGGCAGGCGGAUACUUAAGUGAGGUGUGAAAGCCCUGGGCUUAACCUAGAAUUGCAUUUCAUACUGGGUAUCUAGAGUAUUUUAGGGAGGGGUAGAAUUCCACGUGUAGCGGUGAAAUGCGUAAGAUGUGGAGGAAUACCGAAGGCGAAGCUGCCCCUUGGUGGGAAUACUGACGCUCAUGUGCGAAAGCGUGGGGAGCAAACAGG
rnacentral:rRNA from 1 species